rnacentral:tRNA from 1 species
UCUCUGGUAGUGUAUCGGUUAGUACACGCGCCUAUCAUGAUGUCCUGUUGCACUAAGUUACGCGUGAAAGCUGGGUUCGACUCCCAGCCGGAGAG